rnacentral:rRNA from 1 species
CGCUCUUCAACGAGGAAUCCCUAGUAAGCACAAGUCAUCAGCUUGUGCUGAUUACGUCCCUGCCCUUUGUACACACCGCCCGUCGCUACUACCGAUUGAAUGGCUUAGUGAGACCCUCGGAUUGACUUUUAUCGGCUGUAAAAGGCCUUUGAUUGAUGAAAAGUUGGUCAAACUUGGUCAUUUAGAGGAAGUAAAAGUCGUAACAAGGUUUCCGUAGGUGAACCUGCGGAAGGAUCAUUAUCAAUUCUAGCAAGUAACCCUUUAGGGUUCUUGCGCACGUAUUUAAAACCCCACACUUUUAUGAAAUUUUAUACAUAUUUUACUUUUAAUAAGUAAUUAAAAGAUCACUUUCAACAACGGAUCUCUUGGCUCUCGCAUCGAUGAAGAACGUAGCAAAGUGCGAUAAGUAGUGUGAAUUGCAGAAUUCCGUGGAUCAUCGAAUUUUUGAACGCAAAUUGCACUUUCUGGUAUUCCGGAGAGUAUGCCUGUUUGAGGGUCAGUAAAAUAAAAAAUCGAUUUUGUUACCUUAUCGUAACAUUUCGGAAUUGAGCUACCCUUAAAUUUUUUUAGGUUUUAAGUGGCUUAAAAAUUGAUCAUUUUUUUGGUAUGAUUUAAGCGUGCUAAUAUUACGUUUAAUGAGUAUCGAUGUUUAUUAGGUAUGACCAUGAUCAUGGUUUCGUGCCCAUAAUUUUUUUCAUGAAAUGACCUCAAAUCAGGUAGGAUUACCCGCUGAACUUAAGCAUAUCAAUAAGCGGAGGAAAAGAAAAUAACAAUGAUUCCCCUAGUAACGGCGAGCGAAGAGGGAAUAGCUCAAAUUUUAAAUCUGUUGGGUUUUUACCUAACCGAGUUGUAAUUUGAAGAAACGUUUUCUGCGUGUUGAUUUAGCCUAAAUCCUUUGGGAUAAGGUAUCAAGGGAGGGUGAGAAUCCCGUCUGGUUAGAUCAAGAUGCUUUACGAUACGUUUUCUAAGAGUCGAGUUGUUUGGGAAUGCAGCUCAAAAUGGGAGGUAAAUUUCUCCUAAGGCUAAAUAAAGGCGAGAGACCGAUAGCGAACAAGUACCGUGAGGGAAAGAUGAAAAGAACUUUGAAAAGAGAGUUAAACAGUACGUGAAAUUGUUGAAAGGGAAACGAUUGAAGUCAGUCGUACCGACGAGGAAUCAACCUUUUGAGGGUGGAUAUGUGGGAUUUAAAGUGCCUUUGUUUAUCGCAUCAUCUGCUUUUUUUGGGCGUACUUUUUCGUAUGGUAGGUUAACAUCGGUUUUGAUCGUUAUAAAAUGACUGGAGGAAUGUAGCUUUGAUCUUGUAUUGAAGUGUUAUAGCCUUUGGUAGAUGUAACGGUUAGGAUCGAGGAUUGCAAUGGAUACCCUCAUGGGCUAUCCGUCUGGCCUCUGAUUUGUCACUUUGGUGCUGAAAGCGUGCUUAUGGUAUUAAAGUGUACGGUCAUAAGGUUAGAACGGAAUAAAUUCAUUAAGGAUGUUGACGUAAUGGCUUUAAACGACCCGUCUUGAAACACGGACCAAGGAGUCUAACAUGUAUGCGAGUGUU